ensembl:lncRNA
AUCUUUCUUGUAAACUGCAGAAAACUGCUUGUUCUUUUCACUUGUCAUUCUUCCCUCUUUAUUGGUACAGGCUACAGCUCGUGUCCAGAGCAUUCUUUGGUGAUAAAAGGUGACCAGUAGCAACAUGAUGUAGAUGUCAGUUAAUUGGUAUCACAGUAGCUCAUCCUUUUGAUCGAAAGUAUCUCAGAACCCGGAUGAUGGAAUGAAGGGCAUAUUUUAAUGUUUGAACACACGGGGGCAGAGUUAAACCUGUGUGUGACAGCAUCGCUGCUGUGGAAUUUCCUCACCAAUCCCUUAGCAGAUUGAAUUGCGUAUUGUAAUCUGAAGAGUUUAUAAUGCUGAGAAGGUGAAAACCUUUCUUCAUACUUCCUUUCGAUUAAAAGGAAAUGAACAAAAGAUGGCUUAUGAUUGGAAUGCAGGUCAAGGCCUGUGGAAAGAGCAGGUGCUGAAGCAACAGCAGACGUGUAUUCUCAGUCACUGUGGAAGAGCGGGCUUUGUAGCAGAGGAUGUAAGCAACUGAAAUCAAAGGAGAAGGAAUCCAUGGCCAGCCUCCAACCCAGUUCAUAUGCCUACUGAAAAUUUGGUCAUUCCAGAUGUAUGUAACUGUCCACGAUGCAGUUGCACUGCUGCCCCAGCAGAAGCUUACGUGCUGAGGAAGGGAGUUUCCUAGACUGCUUCAACUAUAAACAUUCCAGCUAAAAAGCAUCUGCUACGGCCUGGAAGGGUUCCAAAGCAGAGACCCUGAAAAACACUGCCAGCUGGCCUGAUAGAUAAUAGCUGCCAGAGGAGCGGAGCCGUCUGCAAGGGCUCUGAACAGGACGCGGCUCGGACUUGGAGCUUGAAAUCAAGUCGUUUGGCUGCUUUUGCCAUGCUUAUGAAAUGAGCUUGCUUGAAGACGACUGGACAUGAUGGUAUUGACUGGGCAGAGCAGCCUGGCUGGGGCUCAGGUUGCAGCCUG